rnacentral:rRNA from 1 species
UACGAAGGGGGCUAGCGUUGCUCGGAAUCACUGGGCGUAAAGCGCACGUAGGCGGCUUGUUAAGUCAGGGGUGAAAUCCUGGAGCUCAACUCCAGAACUGCCUUUGAUACUGGCGAGCUUGAGUCCGGGAGAGGUGAGUGGAACUGCGAGUGUAGAGGUGAAAUUCGUAGAUAUUCGCAAGAACACCAGUGGCGAAGGCGGCUCACUGGCCCGGUACUGACGCUGAGGCGCGAAAGCCAGGGGAGCAAACGGG